UAGUGAUUUGCUUGGUUUUAGUUAUAUAUUACUUAUUUGUAAUUCAUUAAGUUCUGAAAAUUGCUAAGUGAAAUUACUAAUUUGCUUUUCUUGAGACUGGACAUGGCCUUCAUUUGAUAUAAUCUGCCAUCUUUUCUGUGUUUUUGUUAUUCUUUGCAGGAGGCUGCUAAAAUGGUGCAACCAUCUACAAGAAGAGAAGGAUUCUCUACUGUACCUAAUGUGAAAUGGGAUUUCAGUAUGACUAUAGGGAGUUUCCCAUUUUGGGAUCCUAGAUAUAAGGUGCAUGUGUGAUUUAUAGGUUGUGAAUAGGAAGAAAAAUAAGAAAGUUCUAUGUCUUCCUCUGCUCUAGAAUGGCUUUUGGUUAAUCAAUACCCUCUUUGUUAUGAAUCCCUGACCAUCUCCUCUUAUGGUGCCUGGAAGCAGAAAGGCUGUAGGAUUCAACAUCUAGUUUAUUGAACAUCUGGUGGGUGGUGAGUGGAUCUAUCUCAACAAGCUCUUGAUGGGUAUGGUCUCAGUUCUGCCAAGAGUAUCAUUCUAUUUUUGUGAAUAUUUGGGGAGAAAGGAAUAGGGCUUUGAGGGUUAUGCAUCUAACUUUUGAAAUUAGAGAUCUUUGGUUUCAGACCUUAAGUGUUAUUUUCAGAGAUCAUCUUCUCCUCAGUGAGAGGUAGAAGCUUCUUGACCUGCUUGCUGGUUCUCUUCUGUGACCUUUCUCUCUGUCUUGUGUGGAUGCAUUGACAACAAAAUGUGGGAAAGAAGGGGGAUGGGUUGUUGAGCGGCUUUUGAAGCAGCUAUUCGUAGAACUCGAUGGUGCAGAGCAUUGACGUGGUGUUUUUGUCAUUGGAGCCACUAAUAGGCUUGCCGUAAUGGAUCGUGCUGUUUUACGGCCUGGUAGGUUUGGCAAAAUUUUUUAUGUUCCACUGCCUAGUCCAGAUGAAUGGGGUUUGAUCCUAAAAGCACUUGGUCACAAGAAGCUGAUAGAUUCCAGUGUGGAUUUGAGUGCCAUUGCGAAGAUGGAGACAUGUCGAAACGUCAGCAGGGCUGAUCUUGCUGCACUGGUUUGUUUAUAUUCGUACCUUCGC